rfam:Camelus ferus unplaced genomic scaffold scaffold322, whole genome shotgun sequence.
GAGGGUUUAGCUCAUGUGGUAGAGUGCAUGCUUAGCAUGCAUGAGGUCCUGGGUUCAAUCCCCAGUACUUCCU